AGCAGCCGCGGUAAUUCCAGCUCCAAUAGCGUAUAUUAAAGUUGCUGCAGUUAAAAAGCUCGUAGUUGAAUUUCGGGACUAAUAUGUCGGUCGUGCCUCGGUACGUACUGGCUUAUUGGUUUCUCCUUUCUGAAGAACCAUGAUGUCAUUUAUUUGGUGUCGUGGGGAAUCAGGACUGUUACUUUAGAAAAAAUUAGAGUGUUUAAAGCAGGCUCACGCUUGAAUACAUUAGCAUGGAAUAAUGAAAUAGGACGUUUGAUUCUAUUUUGUUGGUUUCUAGGAUCGACGUAAUGAUUAAUAGGGAUAGUUGGGGGCAUUAGUAUUCAAUUGUCAGAGGUGAAAUUCUUGGAUUUAUUGAAGACUAACUACUGCGAAAGCAUUUGCCAAGGAUGUUUUCAUUAAUCAAGAACGAAAGUUAGGGGAUCGAAGACGAUCAGAUACCGUCGUAGUCUUAACCAUAA
rnacentral:rRNA from 1 species